GAUGAACGCUGGCGGCGUGCCUAAUACAUGCAAGUCGAGCGAACGGACGAGAAGCUUGCUUCUCUGAUGUUAGCGGCGGACGGGUGAGUAACACGUGGAUAACCUACCUAUAAGACUGGGAUAACUUCGGGAAACCGGAGCUAAUACCGGAUAAUAUUUUGAACCUCAUUGUUCAAAAGUGAAAGACGGUCUUGCUGUCACUUAUAGAUGGAUCCGCGCUGCAUUAGCUAGUUGGUAAGGUAACGGCUUACCAAGGCAACGAUGCAUAGCCGACCUGAGAGGGUGAUCGGCCACACUGGACCUGAGACACGGUCCAGACUCCUACGGGAGGCAGCAGUAGGGAAUCUUCCGAAAUGGGCGAAAGCCUGACGGAGCAACGCCGCGUGAGUGAUGAAGGUCUUCGGAUCGUAAAACUCUGUUAUUAGGGAAGAACAUAUGUGUAAGUAACUGUGCACAUCUUGACGGUACCUAAUCAGAAAGCCACGGCUAACUACGUG
rnacentral:rRNA from 1 species